rnacentral:rRNA from 1 species
GCCAGCAGCUAUAUCGACAUACAACACACAACUGGUAACCCACUGAAGCUCAACAGGUGUGAGCCUGGUCAGUCCCUGGAUGGAAGACCUCCUGUGAAAUCUAGGGUUGCUGCUGGAA